UAGGAAAUGGUCAAUGUCGGCCACCUGUAGCAUAUGCCUCGGUUGCUCCAUUUCCUUUCUUGCCAGCUCCUUCAUAUUCUACAUUUUAAGUUAAUGAACCAUUCCUCCAAUUUUGUUGUCUUACUACUGUAAUAAAAACGGGAAGAGAACUACCUCUUUAUAAGGUUUAUUGGAUGUUAUAUUUGAUAAAGGUUCGAGUUACCCAGGAUGUGGGAUGUCUUGACAAUUUUGUUGUCUUACUACUGUAAUAAAAACGGAAAGAGAACUACCUCUUUAUAAGGUUUAUUGGAUGUUAUAGUUGAUAAAGGUUCGAGUUACCCAGGAUGUGGGAU
rnacentral:lncRNA from 1 species